CCUACGGGGUGCAGCAGUAGGGAAUAUUGCUCAAUGGGGGAAACCCUGAAGCAGCAACGCCGCGUGGGGGAUGAAGGUUUUCGGAUUGUAAACUCCUUUUGUUAGAGAAGAUACUGACGUUACCUAACGAAUAAGCACCGGCUAACUCCGUGCCAGCAUCCGCUGUCAUCCUGAGGGUGCAAGCGUUACUCGGUAGUACUGGGCGUAAAGAGCGCGUAGGCGGGAUAGCAAGUCAGAUGUGAAAUCCUAGGGCUUAACCAUAGAACUGCAUUUGAAACUGUGAUUCUAGAGUAUGGGAGAGGUAGGCGGAAUGCUUGGUGUAGGGGUAAAAUGCGUAGAGAUCAAGAGGAACACUGAUGGCGAAGGCGACCGGCUAGAACAUAACUGACGCUGAUGCGCGAAAGCGUGGGGAGCAAACAGGAUUAGAUACCCGGGUAGUC
rnacentral:rRNA from 1 species